AUCGUCAUCCCAGCUUUCCGCUCAAUGUACAUCUUGUUCAGCGAUCAUCCAGCUUCUACGCGGAGGUAUCACUAUUCCAUGUUGUCCCAAUUGCGAUUGCAAGACUGGAGUUUUACAGAUGGAACAGAAAAAACAAAGGAUUCAGAUACAAGACAUCGAACAAAACGGUGAUCAAAACGACGUUCAAAAUGGCGAUCAAAAA